rnacentral:tRNA from 1 species
GCCUGGAUAGCUCAGUCGGUACUGAGCAUCAGACUUUUAAUCUGAGGGUCCAGGGUUCAAGUCCCUGUUCGGGCG